rnacentral:tRNA from 1 species
GGCUUCAUAGUGUAGUGGUUAGCAUGUCUGCUUUACACGCAGAAGGUCCUGGGUUCGUGCCCCAGGUGGAGCCA